AAGGAUUCCCAGGAGCACCAGGAAACAAAGGGGACAUGGGAAUUCCAGGUCCCAAAGGACAGAAAGGAUCUCCAGGCUUUCCAGGACCAUCAGGUGACUCUGGGCAAGUAGGCUCUGGUGGCUCUCCAGGUGACAAAGGAGACCCCGGGUACCCAGUUCCUGGGCCUCCAGGAGAACCCGGUCCAAAGGGAGACCCGGGUCCCCCAGGAGGUUUAGGCAGCAAAGGAGAAAAAGGAUCCCAAGGCCAGCCAGGACAUACAGGAGUACCAGGACCAGAUGGGAUCAGAGGGGAAUCUGGAGGCACAGGAAUCCCAGGGGAAGAAGGACUUCCUGGAGGUGUUGGGGCUAAAGGAC
rnacentral:lncRNA from 1 species